rnacentral:rRNA from 1 species
AGGACGAACGCUGGCGGCGUGCUUAACACAUGCAAGUCGAGCGGAAAGGCCCUUUUGGGGGUACUCGAGCGGCGAACGGGUGAGUAACACGUGAGUAACCUGCCCUGGACUUUGGGAUAACCCUCGGAAUCGGGGGCUAAUACCGGAUAUGACUUGGCCUCGCAUGGGGUUGGGUGGAAAGUUUUUCGGUCUGGGAUGGGCUCGCGGCCUAUCAGCUUGUUGGUGGGGUGAUGGCCUACCAAGGCGACGACGGGUAG